rnacentral:rRNA from 1 species
UGGGGAAUAUUGCACAAUGGGGGAAACCCUGAUGCAGCGACGCCGCGUGAGCGAAGAAGGUUUUCGAAUCGUAAAGCUCUGUCCUAUGAGAAGAUAAUGACGGUAUCAUAGGAGGAAGCCCCGGCUAAAUACGUGCCAGCAGCCGCGGUAAUACGUAGGGGGCUAGCGUUGUCCGGAAUCACUGGGCGUAAAGGGUUCGCAGGCGGAAUAACAAGUCAGAUGUGAAAGGCAUGGGCUCAACCCAUGUAAGCAUUUGAAACUGUAAUUCUUGAGAAGUGGAGAGGUAAGUGGAAUUCCUAGUGUAGCGGUGAAAUGCGUAGAUAUUAGGAGGAAUACCUGUGGCGAAGGCGACUUACUGGACACAAAUCUGACGCUGAGGAACGAAAGCGUGGGUAGCAAACAGG